rnacentral:rRNA from 1 species
CACAGGUUUACCUGUGUGACUGCGUACCUUUUGUAUAAUGGGUCAGCGACUUAUAUUCUGUAGCAAGGUUAACCGAAUAGGGGAGCCGGAGGGAAACCGAGUCUUAAUUGGGCGUUAAGUUGCAGGGUAUAGACCCGAAACCCGGUGAUCUAGCCAUGGGCAGGUUGAAGGUUGGGUAACACUAACUGGAGGACCGAACCGACUAAUGUUGAAAAAUUAGCGGAUGACCUGUGGCUGGGGGUGAAAGGCCAAUCAAACCGGGAGAUAGCUGGUUCUCCCCGAAAGCUAUUUAGGUAGCGCCUCGUGAAUUCAUCUCCGGGGGUAGAGCACUGUUUCGGCUAGGGGGCCAUCCCGGCUUACCAACCCGAUGCAAACUGCGAAUACCGGAGAAUGUUAUCACGGGAGACACACGGCGGGUGCUAACGUCCGUCGUGAAGAGGGAAACAACCCAGACCGCCAGCUAAGGUCCCAAAGUCAUGGUUAAGUGGGAAACGAUGUGGGAAGGCCCAGACAGCCAGGAUGUUGGCUUAGAAGCAGCCAUCAUUUAAAGAAAGCGUAAUAGCUCACUGGUCGAGUCGGCCUGCGCGGAAGAUGUAACGGGGCUAAACCAU